ACUAAAAGGCUAGUCCAAAGGUCUUUAGGGUUUGAUAAGUAUCUGUGACAUUACGAAUGUGAAAUCUAGACUUGCAAUGACAAUGUUUCUUGUUGAAGGUUUCUCUUGAUGGGGAUGUUCUUUUGGAUGUGUGAAGAAGGUCUUAAUACCCAGUCUGUACUCGGUGUUCUACAACGCUUGAUGUGGUACGUUAUAGUUGUCCUGGGUCUCUUCGUGGGUUAUCAGCUAGUUUUGAUGCCACUCCUUUAUCUUAUAAUUAUCAGAAAAAACCCAUUUCGUUUUUACUUCAAUCUUUUACCGGUUGUUUUGACUGCUUUCGGAACAGCAUCUAGUGCCGCAACUCUUCCUGUCACUAUGCGUUACAUGGAAGAAGGUAAUAAAAUUCACAGCUACAUUACCCGAUUUGUACUUCCUCUGGGAAUGACGAUUCAUAUGGAUGGCGGAUGUCUGAAUUAUCCAAUGAAAACUAUUUUUGUUGCUCGUUGGAAUGGUGUUACCGUUGACAUUCCUACUUCCAUUGUUGUUAGCCUAUUAUGA